GUAACCAACCUGCACGUUAUGCACAUGUACCCUAGAACUUAAAGUAUAAUAAUAAUAAUAAUAAUAAUAAUAAUAAUAAUAAUAAUAAUAAUAAAAAGUGCUCACGUGGCAGGGCCUGCUUUGGACGGCAUCACCACUGCCACCAGGGGGCACCCUCGGCUCACGCUGGGCCCUGUCCUCCUGUCCACGGCCGGGCUGAGACGGUCCUCUGGUCUGUGCCUGGCCUGGGACCCUUCUCCUUGUCUGUGCCCUGGCUGGGACCCUCCUCUGGGUCCGUGUCUGGCUUGAGACCCUCCUCUGGGUCCGUAUCGGGCCUGGGACCCUCCUCUGAGUCUGUGUCCAGGCUGGGACCCUCCUCCUUGUCUGUGCCCGGGCUGGGACCCUCCUCCUUGUCUGUGCCCGGGCUGGGACCCUCCUUUGGGAUGCAGAAAGAGGCCUGGGAUGAGUGGAUGGGUACAGAGGUCUCCACAACUCCCUGCAAGCUCGGUUACACCCAACCUCAAAUCAUCUUCUCUCCACCAUGCCAGAGCCAACCACGCCUCCCGAGGAGCAGGUGCCUCCUCUCUGAGUGGCCAGAGAGACCCUGAAGUGAUGCCAGUGGAGAAGCAGGCGAGAAAAGCAUGGAAGGGCGUGGGGUCAAUCGCCGACAGCAGGAGCCCGGGGGAAUCUUUCCAAGGCGUCUUGGUGCCUGCAGCUUGGAUAAGCUGGGGCACAGCAGGCCGUUAUUGAUAAGGACAUUUAAUACGUAACAAGUGCCAGGUGACAUUUCCUCGUGGCUGCCAGUAGGGAUGUGGGCUCAGAUGUG
rnacentral:lncRNA from 10 species